rnacentral:rRNA from 1 species
GACAGAGGGUGCAAACGUUGUUCGGAAUUACUGGGCGUAAAGCGCGUGUAGGCUGUUCGGAAAGUCGGAUGUGAAAGCCCUGGGCUUAACCCAGGAAGUGCAUUCGAAACUCCCGAACUCGAGUCCUGGAGAGGAGGGCGGAAUUCUCGGUGUAGAGGUGAAAUUCGUAGAUAUCGAGAGGAACAUCGGUGGCGAAGGCGGCCUUCUGGACAGUGACUGACGCUGAGACGCGAAAGCGUGGGGAGCGAACAGG